CCUACGGGAGGCAGCAGUGAGGAAUAUUGGUCAAUGGCCGAAAGGCUGAACCAGCCAAGUCGCGUGAAGGAAGACUGCCCUAUGGUUUGUAAACUUCUUUUAUAAGGGAAUAAAGCGAGCCACGUGUGCCUUUUUGCAUGUACUUUAUGAAUAAGGAUCGGCUAACUCCGUGCCAGCAGCCGCGGUAAUACGGAGGAUCCGAGCGUUAUCCGGAUUUAUUGGGUUUAAAGGGAGCGUAGAUGGGUUUUUAAGUCAGGUGUGAAAGUUUGUGGCUCAACCGUAAAAUUGCAAUUGAUACUGGCAGUCUUGAGUACAGUUGAGGUAGGCGGAAUGCGUGGUGUAGCGGUGAAAUGCUUAGAUAUCACGAAGAACCCCGAUUGCGAAGGCAGCUUACUAAACUGUGACUGACACUGAUGCUCGAAAGUGUGGGUAUCAAACAGGAUUAGAUACCCUUGUAGUC
rnacentral:rRNA from 1 species